CAGUUGCUGAAGUAAAACUUCUAUCCUCCCCAUGCUAACUGUUGACAUGGAAAACAAGGAAAAUGGCUCUCUGGAUGUCAAAAAUUCACUAGAGAAUGGGAGACCUCUGGAUCCUGCUGACUGGGCUGUUACUGAUGUUGUGAAUUAUUUCAGAACAGCUGGAUUUGAAGAACAAGCCAGUGCUUUUCAGGAACAGGAAAUUGAUGGCAAAUCAUUACUGUUGAUGACAAGAAAUGAUGUACUGACUGGACUUUCAUUAAAACUGGGGCCUGCGCUGAAAAUCUAUGAAUAUCACGUAAAACCUCUACAGACACAACAUCUAAAGAACAACUCUUUAUAGCUAAUUGUCUAAUUGGGGUCAUGCUGUGCCUCAAGGGAAAAAUAAGCAAUUUGGUUUCAUGUGAUGGAACUUUGUAAAGAGAGAAUAUAUCUAUUAAGAGUUUAAACCAAAUUAGAAUAUAUAUCCUAUUGGAUAGAGCUGGCAAUAUACUAUAUGCUGAGUCUGAACUGAGAGAGGUGGUGUGUAUUUUUUACAUAGUACAUAAUGAUUUUCUCUUUUAGGAAGUGUCAAUGAGCAUGUUGAGAUAGCUACAUCACUGUAUCCAGAACAAAAGGGAGUUUACUUUACAGAUCUUUUCCUUUCUCUGUUGUGGUAUACUGGAGCUCCUUUCCUCCAUUUUCCUAUUAAAAAGAUUUAAUUAUUUUUGUUCUUUCUUCUCUGGUGUCACAUACUGCGGAAGGAGAAGCCCUGGCCACAGUUCACCAGUAACAUCUGUGUUUCCCUUACCGUGUAUGGAGCUGUCAGUGCUGUGGAGCUGCUGUGUUGGCCCUGGUACACAGGGUGGGUCCAUUUACCCCAGAAUGUCUGGAGACACCCAAGGAUGCUGCUAAACCCUGUCUGGGCUCACCAUCAUCUCUGGCCCAGAGAGCUUUGCCAUGAGCCCUGAAAUGGGGAAUGUGGGCUUGCAUCAGUGAUGCUGAGCAGAGGAACAAAGAGGGAGGAAUUAAUGAGAGUGUGGUGAAAGUGGGGACAGGAUUCAGGGAGAGGAAGGAGAACCUCCUGCAAUCUCCUGCCUGGGUAGUGGCCCUGCCUUCCCUUUGACUUGGCCAUGUGUGAGGUGGCUGUGUGUGGUUAAAGGGAGAGAAGGGACAAAGCCAUGCUAAUACCGAUGCCAUAGGUGAAGCUCAUGGUAUAUGCUAUAUUACAUAAAUAUAUACAGCAGCAUGCUUUCUUGGAUUCUUCCUAACCUUUACAUGGUACAGUGUAUUUAUUUGGAAUUUAAGACAAUAGGACAGAGAUGUAUUCAUCAUGUCUUUGACUGUCCCUUGUACUGACCUUACUUCAGGCAUUGGUCUGUUAACAGCAGGUUUGUAAGUCAUGGUCUGAGUUCUGUUUAUGAUUUUAUUUAUAGUUUGUCAUGUCCAGAGGUACCUGCUGGGAGUAGAGCUCUGCUGGAAGACUAGAUUCAAAUAGAGAUCAUCAACCCUGCCUUGGGGAAUUGAGCUAUAGUCUGUAUCUGACUAAUUCUGGAUUGCAAUGUAAAAAUUAUACAUGAAACUCCUAAAUAUUUUAAUAUAGAAUUAGGUGUGUUUAUGAAAGUUUAUGAAAGUAGCCUGGACAUGCUAACCAGUACUGUAUCUAUAGAAUUAUUUUGGAUGAGAGCAGUGCUGUGUUAUGGAAGGAUUAAUUGAAUAUUCUUUUUUUCUCCAUUUGCAUGUUUGGUAUGGGAUUUACGUUUUGUGGUCCUGUGGAAGACAGAAUUUGAAGUAAAAUGUCCUUAUUCCAAGAGGGAGUAAAAAUCUCCACUGUGCAGACAUGAGAGUGCAUUUGAUGACUACUGAACAAAGUUCUUUCUUUUAAUAUGUUUAAUGAGCAAAUGAAUUGCAUUCAGAAACAUCCAGAUUUUAUUUCCCCUUUGCUCAGCACCACUGAGUCAUACAAGUAAAGGCAUAACAGAAAUCUCAUUGCAAGUGCAAAAAGGAAUUUGGAAAAUAUUGGUCAAAACCGUGA